rnacentral:rRNA from 1 species
UAAUAGCGUAUUUCAAAGUUGUUGCAGUUAAAACGCUCGUAGUUGGACCUUAGGGCUGGGCGUCGUCGGUCCGCGUCAAGUGAGUACCGAUGCGUCCCAGUCCUCGCCUAUGAGAUACUCACUGUCGCACUUAACUGGGUGGCAGUAGAAGCGGCCGGGGUAGUACCUUGUCGCCGGGUUCUCAUUCGUUUACUUUGAAUAAAUUAGAGUGUUCAAAGCAGGCAGUUAACGCCUUGAAUAAUCUAGCAUGGGAUAAUGGAAUAGGCUGUCGGCUUAUUUCGUUGGUUUCUAAGCCAGACAGAAUGAUUAAGAGGGACAGUUGGGGGUUUUCGUAUUCAAUUGUCAGAGGUGAAAUUCUUGGAUUUGUUGAAGACGAACUACUGCGAAAGCAUUAACCAAGGAUGCUUUCAUUAA